GUUGGUGGAGCGAUUUGUCUGGUUAAUUCCGAUAACGAAC
rnacentral:rRNA from 1 species